rfam:Clostridium cylindrosporum DSM 605 CLCY_29c, whole genome shotgun sequence.
CAACGGCCUUCUAAGCCGUGUGCCAGGAGUUCGAAUCUCUUAAGGCGCA